rnacentral:misc_RNA from 1 species
GAUGAAGAACGUAGUGAAAUGCGAUAAGUAACGUGAAUUGCAGAAUUCAGUGAAUCAUCGAAUCUUUGAACGCACCUUGCGCUCUUUGGUAUUCCGAAGAGCAUGCCUGUUUGAGUGUCAUGAAAAUAUCAACCUUGACUUGGGUUUUGUGCUCUAGUCUCGGCUUGGAAUUGGGUGCUUGCCGCUUUUACGAGCGGCUCACCUUAAAUGUAUUAGCUGGAUCUGUCUUUGAGACUUGGUUUGACUUGGCGUAAUAAGUAUUUCGCUAAGGACAUUCUUCGGAGUGGCCUCGUUUCUAGGACGCUUGUCCGCUUUCCAAUACAAGUUCCACCUCGUGGACAUGACUUUUUAUUAUCUGGCCUCAAAUCAGGUAGGACUACCCGCUGAACUUAAGCAUAUCAAUAAGCGGAGGA